rnacentral:rRNA from 1 species
GACGAACGCUGGCGGCGUGCUUAACACGUGCAAGUCGAACGGUAAGGCCCUUCGGGGUACACGAGUGGCGAACGGGUGAGUAACACGUGGGUGAUCUGCCCUGCACUUCGGGAUAAGCCUGGGAAACUGGGUCUAAUACCGGAUAGGACCCUGGGAUGCAUGUCCUGGGGUGGAAAGCUUUUGCGGUGUGGGAUGGGCCCGCGGCCUAUCAGCUUGUUGGUGGGGUGAUGGCCUACCAAGGCGACGACGGGUAGCCGGCCUGAGAGGGUGACCGGCCACACUGGGACUGAGAUACGGCCCAGACUCCUACGGGAGGCAGCAGUGGGGAAUAUCGCACAAUGGGCGCAAGCCUGAUGCAGCGACGCCGCGUGAGGGAUGACGGCCUUCGGGUUGUAAACCUCUUUCAGCACCGACGAAGCGCAAGUGACGGUAGGUGCAGAAGAAGGACCGGCCAACUACGUGCCAGCCGCCGCGGUAA